GGAUAGGUUUGAUUCUGGCUAUUAAUUAGUUUUUUCGUUUAAUUAUAUGGAUAUUAUUAAAUUUUUAAUUUUCCAGUAAUAAGUUUUUAAUUUUUAUUAAAUUAUUUUAAUUGAGAUAAUGAAUUAAAAUAGAUUAAAAUUUGUGCCAGCAUUCGCGGUUAUACAAUUUAUUUAAAUUAAUUUUUUAAGAUUUUAAUGAAUAUGAUUUAUUUUGGAAAAUUAAUUUAAUUUUUUUAGGUGGAAUUUAAAUAUUACUAAAAUUUCUUUAUUAAUAUUUAAGAUGUGAAAUUUUUAAACUAGGAUUAGAUACCCUAUUAUUUAUUAUUUAAAUUUAUGUCUGAAUAGUAUUAGUUAAGUUCUUUAAAGCUCAAAGAAUUUGGCGGUAAAAUACCUUUUUAGAGGAACCUGUAAUUUAAUUGAUAAACCACGAUAAAUUAUACUUUAAUUUUAUAUUAUUUGUAUAUCGCUAUAUAUGGAAUGUUUCUUUAGAAUAUUUUCUUUUUCUAAUACAAAGUUUAAUGUUAGGUCAAGGUGCAGUUUUAUUAAAGUUUAUAUGGGUUACUAUUGUUUUAAGUUUUUAAAAUUUACUAAUAUAAUUAGUUAAUUAUUAUAGGAUUUAAUAGUAAAUUGAAAUAAUUAUUUUAAUUGAAUUUUGCUCUUUUUUAUGUACAUAUCGCCCGUCAUUCCUAUAUUUAAUUAGGACAAGUCGUAACAAAGUAAUUUUACCGGAAGGUGAGGUUAGAAUGAAUAAU
rnacentral:ncRNA from 1 species